GUACCAAUCGAUGCUGUUUAGAGGCUCUCAGACUGUACCAAUCGAUGCUGUUUAGAGGCUCUCAGACUGAACUAAUCGAUGCUGUUUAGAGGCUCUCAGACUGUACCAAUCGAUGCUGUUUAGAGGCUCUCAGACUGAACUAAUCGAUGCUGUUUAGAGGCUCUCAGACUGUACCAAUCGAUGCUGUUUAGAGGCUCUCAGACUGUACCAAUCGAUGCUGUUUAGAGGCUCUCAGACUGUACCAAUCGAUGCUGUUUAGAGGCUCUCAGACUGAACUAAUCGAUGCUGUUUAGAGGCUCUCAGACUGUACCAAUCGAUGCUGUUUAGAGGCUCUCAGACUGUACCAAUCGAUGCUGUUUAGAGGCUCUCAGACUGUACCAAUCGAUGCUGUUUAGAGGCUCUCAGACUGAACUAAUCGAUGCUGUUUAGAGGCUCUCAGACUGUACCAAUCGAUGCUGUUUAGAGGCUCUCAGACUGAACUAAUCGAUGCUGUUUAGAGGCUCUCAGACUGUACCAAUCGAUGCUGUUUAGAGGCUCUCAGACUGUACCAAUCGAUGCUGUUUAGAGGCUCUCAGACUGAACCAAUCGAUGCUGUUUAGAGGCUCUCAGACUGAACCAAUCGAUGCUGUUUAGAGGCUCUCAGACUGUACCAAUCGAUGCUGUUUAGAGGCUCUCAGACUGUACCAAUCGAUGCUGUUUAGAGGCUCUCAGACUGUACCAAUCGAUGCUGUUUAGAGGCUCUCAGACUGUACCAAUCCAUGCUGUUUAGAGGCUCUCAGACUGUACCAAUCGAUGCUGUUUAGAGGCUCUCAGACUGAACUAAUCGAUGCUGUUUAGAGGCUCUCAGACUGUACUAAUCGAUGCUGUUUAGAGGCUCUCAGACUGUACUAAUCGAUGCUGUUUGGAGGCUCUCAGACUGUACCAAUCGAUGCUGUUUAGAGGCUCUCAGACUGUACUAAUCGAUGCUGUUUGGAGGCUCUCAGACUGUACCAAUCGAUGCUGUUUAGAGGCUCUCAGACUGUACUAAUCGAUGCUGUUUAGAGGCUCACAGACUGUACCAAUCGAUGCUGUUUAGAGGCUCUCAGACUGUACUAGUCGAUGUUGUUUAGAGGCUGUCAGACUGUACUAGUCGAAGU